GUACUGCUCACGUCAGCAGCACAUAUACGAAAAUAGGACUUAUAUAGAUAAGAUUAGCUGGACCCUGUGCAAGGAUGACACUCAGAAUCAUGAAACAUUCCACACUUCU